CUCCUGCGUCCUGCCCAUGGUCCUGCCCCUCUCUCAAUGGAACCAGGAAACCGCUAUGCUAUGUGUGUGUUCAAUGCUGUGGCCGGGACAGAGGGAAGUAGCUGCCAAAAUGGAGGUCUGAGGAAGACAGAGUGCAGGCAUGAAAAAGACGGAGAGAGGAAAGAGUAAAACCGGGCCUGGAAGUGGUCCCUCCUAAGAAGUCCUGCCUUACUGAAUGAGUCUGUGCAGCAUCAGAGGCUGAGAACUUGCUGGAACUGGACACAGGGAACAGAGAGAAUUCUCUGCUUGAGGACACCUUUGAGGCAGCAAGGUGGUGUACCACAAGGUCCUUCAAAGGAAGCCUUUCCCUUCCCCAGGUCAUCACCAUGGACAGGGAAGCUUGCCAGAGGGCAGUGGAGAGGUUAUGCUUCUGUGAUGGCCUGGAUGAAGAGGAGAUGAACGAUUGCAGGGAACCGUUCCUGUUCAUGUUUAGUUUUCAGUCCGACUAUGAGGAGUUCUGCAGAGAAAUUGAGGAAAAAGGGAAGAUGAAGGUGUUUUCUGGUUUUGAAAUGCCAUAGUACAGCGGUGUCACAGUUUUUGCAUCAUUUUUCCUCCUCACAUUGUUUUUUUGGAGGUUUUGUGUGCUUUUUGGUUCAUUUGUACUUUUUUUGUUUUUAUUCCUGUGUUGGCUGUUUGCUCUAUUAAAUUUACCUUUUUUGAAAAA